ACUGACAUGCCUUUGGCUAUCAGUCAGUAUUAUAUUUGCCCCCCAAAAGUCUACACACGUGGGAGAAACUACCCAAGGAGAAAUAGAGCUGUGGAAUACUCUGUUUUUGAUCACCUCUUUGGCUCAUUAGAACACCAGAAACAGACAUAUAUUGAAAAGUUCCUUGCAAAGCUUUGUUUAGUCCUUUUUCCUGUUUUUGCCAGGAAGUGCACACUGGUUAAACAGAAAGCCAGACUAAUUUUUCUUUCUGCUUUACAAAAAACAGAAAAAGCUUGCACAGAGUUUGUUGAUAUAACCACCCUCACAGUCAGCACCGCAGUGGUAUCUUUCCUUCCGCUCCUGGCAAUUUUGGUGUGCUAUCAUAUUACUCAAAGAUGGCAAAAAGAAAGCUCGAGUUCUAGACGGCAAGAUUUACAGGAGAUUCUCUGAAAUGCCUCCAGUUGCCUGUGUGAAGGAGAUGCUGUGUACUUCCUUUGCGAGUCCUGCGCAUAUUUCCUCUCUUGUUUAAUCAGACCACCUCCGCCUUGUUUAAUUUUAAGCAAUUGUAAAGGGCUUUGGCUUCCGAGCAGGCUCCUGCUACCAGCACUGAAUAAA